rnacentral:tRNA from 1 species
GGCAAAGUGCCAGAGUGGUUAAUGGGUUAGCCUCGGAAGCUAAUGGCUUCGGUCCCUGUCUUUGUCGAGAAAUUUCUCUUUUGCCA